rnacentral:rRNA from 1 species
UGGGGAAUAUUGCACAAUGGGCGAAAGCCUGAUGCAGCGACGCCGCGUGAGGGAUGACGGCCUUCGGGUUGUAAACCCCUUUCGCUCAUGGUCAAGCCGCAGCUUUGGGUUGUGGUGAGGGUAGUGGGUAAAGAAGCGCCGGCUAACUACGUGCCAGCAGCCGCGGUAAUACGUAGGGCGCGAGCGUUGUCCGGAAUUAUUGGGCGUAAAGGGCUUGUAGGCGGUUGGUCGCGUCUGCCGUGAAAUCCUCUGGCUUAACUGGGGGCGUGCGGUGGGUACGGGCUGACUUGAGUGCGGUAGGGGAGACUGGAACUCCUGGUGUAGCGGUGGAAUGCGCAGAUAUCAGGAAGAACACCGGUGGCGAAGGCGGGUCUCUGGGCCGUUACUGACGCUGAGGAGCGAAAGCGUGGGGAGCGAACAGGAUUAGAUACCCUGGUAGUCCACGCUGUAAACGUUGGGCACUAGGUGUGGGGGCCACCCGUGGUUUCUGCGCCGUAGCUAACGCUUUAAGUGCCCCGCCUGGGGAGUACGGCCGCAAGGCUA